AUGUCCUCCGCGUCAUAGAGGAGUUGCUUGAGGCGAUCGAGCCACAGUUUCACAUGGACGUUGGUGAACUGCUUCACUUCAGCUUCAUCAGAUAAGUUCUGAAUCUCAUCUGACGUCUCCUUCAGUGACUCCACUUCAUCCAAGUCGAUCUUCCAUCGACGAACGAGGAGCCGUAACUCCAGAG